rnacentral:rRNA from 1 species
AACGAACGCUGGCGGCAUGCCUAACACAUGCAAGUCGAACGGGAUCUUGACUUCGGUCAGGUGAGAGUGGCGGACGGGUGAGUAACACGUGGGAACCUGCCUUUUGGUUCGGGAUAACCGCGGGAAACUGCGGCUAAUACCGGAUACUCCCGAGAGGGGAAAGAUUUAUCGCCAGAAGAGGGGCCCGCGUCCGAUUAGGUAGUUGGUGGGGUAAUGGCCUACCAAGCCGACGAUCGGUAGCUGGUCUGAGAGGAUGAUCAGCCACACUGGGACUGAGAUACGGCCCAGACUCCUACGGGAGGCAGCAGUGGGAAUAUUGGACAAUGGGCGAAAGCCUGAUCCAGCAAUGCCGCGUGAGUGAUGAAGGCCUUAGGGUUGUAAAGCUCUUUUACCCGGGAUGAUAAUGACAGUACCGGGAGAAUAAGCCCCGGCUAACUCCGUGCCAGCAGCCGCGGUAAU